GACGAACGCUGGCGGCGUGCCUAAUACAUGCAAGUCGAACGAACUCUGGUAUUGAUUGGUGCUUGCAUCAUGAUUUACAUUUGAGUGAGUGGCGAACUGGUGAGUAACACGUGGGAAACCUGCCCAGAAGCGGGGGAUAACACCUGGAAACAGAUGCUAAUACCGCAUAACAACUUGGACCGCAUGGUCCGAGUUUAAAAGAUGGCUUCGGCUAUCACUUUUGGAUGGUCCCGCGGCGUAUUAGCUAGAUGGUGAGGUAACGGCUCACCAUGGCAAUGAUACGUAGCCGACCUGAGAGGGUAAUCGGCCACAUUGGGACUGAGACACGGCCCAAACUCCUACGGGAGGCAGCAGUAGGGAAUCUUCCACAAUGGACGAAAGUCUGAUGGAGCAACGCCGCGUGAGUGAAGAAGGGUUUCGGCUCGUAAAACUCUGUUGUUAAAGAAGAACAUAUCUGAGAGUAACUGUUCAGGUAUUGACGGUAUUUAACCAGAAAGCCACGGCUAACUACGUGCCAGCAGCCGCGGUAAUACGUAGGUGGCAAGCGUUGUCCGGAUUUAUUGGGCGUAAAGCGAGCGCAGGCGGUUUUUUAAGUCUGAUGUGAAAGCCUUCGGCUCAACCGAAGAAGUGCAUCGGAAACUGGGAAACUUGAGUGCAGAAGAGGACAGUGGAACUUCCAUGUGUAGCGGUGAAAUGCGUAGAUAUAUGGAAGACCACCAGUGGCGAAGGCGGCUGUCUGGUCUGUAACUGACGCUGGGGCUCGAAAGUAUGGGUAGCAAACAGGAUUAGAUACCCUGGUAGUCCAUACCGUAAACGAUGAAUGCUAAGUGUUGGAGGGUUUCCGCCCUUCAGUGCUGCAGCUAACGCAUUAAGCAUUCCGCCUGGGGAGUACGGCCGCAAGGCUGAAACUCAAAGGAAUUGACGGGGGCCCGCACAAGCGGUGGAGCAUGUGGUUUAAUUCGAAGCUACGCGAAGAACCUUACCAGGUCUUGACAUACUAUGCAAAUCUAAGAGAUUAGACGUUCCCUUCGGGGACAUGGAUACAGGUGGUGCAUGGUUGUCGUCAGCUCGUGUCGUGAGAUGUUGGGUUAAGUCCCGCAACGAGCGCAACCCUUAUUAUCAGUUGCCAGCAUUAAGUUGGGCACUCUGGUGAGACUGCCGGUGACAAACCGGAGGAAGGUGGGGAUGACGUCAAAUCAUCAUGCCUCUUAUGACCUGGGCUACACACGUGCUACAAUGGAUGGUACAACGAGUUGCGAACUCGCGAGAGUAAGCUAAUCUCUUAAAGCCAUUCUCAGUUCGGAUUGUAGGCUGCAACUCGCCUACAUGAAGUCGGAAUCGCUAGUAAUCGCGGAUCAGCAUGCCGCGGUGAAUACGUUCCCGGGCCUUGUACACACCGCCCGUCACACCAUGAGAGUUUGUAACACCCAAAGUCGGUGGGGUAACCUUUUAGGAACCAGCCGCCUAAGGUGGGACAGAUGAUUAGGGUG
rnacentral:rRNA from 1 species